rnacentral:rRNA from 1 species
UUGACCUCAGAUCAGA